GAUGAAGAACGUAGCGAAAUGCGAUACGUAAUGUGAAUUGCAGAAUUCAGUGAAUCAUCGAGUCUUUGAACGCACAUUGCGCCCCCUGGCAUUCCGGGGGGCAUGCCUGUCCGAGCGUCAUUUCUGCCCUCCAGCCCGGCUGGGUGUUGGGCGCUGUCCCCCCGGGGACACGCCCCAAAGGCAGUGGCGGCGCCGCGUCGGGUCCUCGAGCGUAUGGGGCUUUGUCACCCGCUCGGGACGGACUCGUCGGCGCUGGUCUUCCUCCAGGCGACCCUUCGGGGCUCGUCUUCCUUCGGUUGACCUCGGAUCAGGUAGGGUUACCCGCUGAACUUAAGCAUAUCAAUAGCGGAGGA
rnacentral:misc_RNA from 1 species